GCCUGAUGCAGCAACGCCGCGUGAGGGAUGACGGCCUUCGGGUUGUAAACCUCUUUUAGCAAGGAAGAAGCGAAAGUGACGGUACUUGCAGAAAAAGCACCGGCUAACUACGUGCCAGCAGCCGCGGUAAUACGUAGGGUGCAAGCGUUAUCCGGAAUUAUUGGGCGUAAAGAGCUCGUAGGCGGUUUGUCGCGUCUGCUGUGAAAUCUGGGGGCUCAACCCCCAGCCUGCAGUGGGUACGGGCAGACUAGAGUGCGGUAGGGGAGAUUGGAAUUCCUGGUGUAGCGGUGGAAUGCGCAGAUAUCAGGAGGAACACCGAUGGCGAAGGCAGAUCUCUGGGCCGUAACUGACGCUGAGGAGCGAAAGGGUGGGGAGCAAACAGGCUUAGAUACCCUGGUAGUCCACCCCGUAAACGUUGGGAACUAGUUGUGGGGUCCAUUCCACGGAUUCCGUGACGCAACUGACGCAUUAAGUUCCCCGCCUGGGGAGUACGGCCGCAAGGCUAAAACUCAAAGGAAUUGACGGGGACCCGCACAAGCGGCGGAGCAUGCGGAUUAAUUCGAUGCAACGCGAAGAACCUUACCAAGGCUUGACAUAUACCAGAACGGGCUAGAAAUAGUCAACUCUUUGGACACUCGUA
rnacentral:rRNA from 1 species